AACGAACGCUGGCGGCGUGCCUAACACAUGCAAGUCGAACGGAAUGAGGGGGCUUGCUCCUUCAUUUAGUGGCGCACGGGUGAGUAACGCGUAGAUAAUCUGCCUGAUGAUCUGGGAUAACAGUUCGAAAGGACUGCUAAUACCGGAUAAGCCCACGGGUACUUUGGUACUUGCGGGAAAAGGGGGGGACCUUCGGGCCUUCCGUCAUCAGAUGAGUCUGCGUACCAUUAGCUAGUUGGUAGGGUAAAGGCCUACCAAGGCGACGAUGGUUAACUGGUCUGAGAGGAUGAUCAGCCACACUGGAACUGAGACACGGUCCAGACUCCUACGGGAGGCAGCAGUGGGGAAUUUUGCGCAAUGGGGGAAACCCUGACGCAGCAACGCCGCGUGAGUGAUGAAGGCUCUUGGGUCGUAAAGCUCUGACAGAGGGAAAGAAGUGUAUGGUGGUUAAUACCCAUUGUACUUGACGGUACCCUCAAAGGAAGCACCGGCUAACUCCGUGCCAGCAGCCGCCGUAAGAC
rnacentral:rRNA from 1 species